rnacentral:rRNA from 1 species
UACACACGGAUAACAUACCGAAAGGUAUGCUAAUACGGGAUAAUAUAUUUGAGAGGCAUCUCUUAAAUAUCAAAGGUGAGCCAGUACAGGAUGGACCCGCGUCUGAUUAGCUAGUUGGUAAGGUAACGGCUUACCAAGGCGACGAUCAGUAGCCGACCUGAGAGGGUGAUCGGCCACAUUGGAACUGAGACACGGUCCAAACUCCUACGGGAGGCAGCAGUGGGGAAUAUUGCACAAUGGGCGAAAGCCUGAUGCAGCAACGCCGCGUGAGUGAUGAAGGCCUUCGGGUCGUAAAACUCUGUCCUCAAGGAAGAUAAUGACGGUACUUGAGGAGGAAGCCCCGGCUAACUACGUGCCAGCAGCCGCGGUAAUACGUAGGGGGCUAGCGUUAUCCGGAUUUACUGGGCGUAAAGGGUGCGUAGGCGGUCUUUCAAGUCAGGAGUGAAAGGCUACGGCUCAACCGUAGUAAGCUCUUGAAACUGGGAGACUUGAGUGCAGGAGAGGGGAGUGGAAUUCCUAGUGUAGCGGUGAAAUGCGUAGAUAUUAGGAGGAACACCAGUUGCGAAGGCGGCUCUCUGGACUGUAACUGACGCUGAGGCACGAAAGCGUGGGGAGCAAACAGGAUUAGAUACCCUGGUAGUCCACGCUGUAAACGAUGAGUACUAGGUGUCGGGGGUUACCCCCUUCGGUGCCGCAGC